rnacentral:tRNA from 1 species
GGAGGGGUAGCCAAGCGGCCAAAGGCGGCAGACUGUAAAUCUGCUGGCAGUGUCCUUCGGGGGUUCGAAUCCCUCCCCCUCCA